rnacentral:tRNA from 1 species
CGCGGUGUAGCGCAGCAGCAGCGCGCCGGGCCCAUAACCCGGAGGCCGGCGGUGCAACUCCGCCCACCGCCC